AAGAUGUGUUAAUCGAAAUGUAAGCUGCUAACUUAUUAUUCAAGUGGAUAAUAACCAUUUACAUCUU
rnacentral:tRNA from 1 species